rnacentral:rRNA from 1 species
UACGGGGGGGGCAAGCGUUGUUCGGAAUUACUGGGCGUAAAGGGCGCGUAGGCGGUUCGCUAAGUUGGAUGUGAAAUCCCUCGGCUCAACCGAGGAACUGCGUCCGAUACUGGCAGGCUUGAAUUCGGGAGAGGGAUGCGGAAUUCCAGGUGUAGCGGUGAAAUGCGUGAGAUAUCGUGGAGGAACACCGGUGGCGAAGGCGGCAUCCUGGACCGAGAUUGACGCUGAGGCGCGAAAGCCAGGGGAGCAAACGGG